rnacentral:rRNA from 1 species
CCUAUGGGAGGCAGCAGUGAGGAAUAUUGGUCAAUGGACGCAAGUCUGAACCAGCCAAGUAGCGUGCAGGAUGACGGCCCUCCGGGUUGUAAACUGCUUUUAGUUGGGAAUAAAAGGGGGCUCGUGAGCCCCGUAUUGUAUGUACCAUCAGAAAAAGGACCGGCUAAUUCCGUGCCAGCAGCCGCGGUAAUACGUAGGAGGCGAGCGUUAUCCGGAAUGACUGGGCGUAAAGGGUGCGUAGGUGGUUUGGCAAGUUAGUAGCGUAACUCCAAGGCUCAACCUUGGAACUACUACUAAAACUGUUGGAAUUGAGUGCAGGAGGGGCAACCGGAAUUCCUAGUGUAGCGGUGGAAUGCGUAGAUAUUAGGAGGAACACCAGUGGCGAAGGCGGGUUGCUAGACUGUAACUGACACUGAGGCACGAAAGCGUGGGGAGCAAACAGGAUUAGAUACCCCUGUAGUC